rnacentral:rRNA from 1 species
UUGGUGCCUUCGGGAACUUACAUACAGGUGCUGCAUGGCUGUCGUCAGCUCGUGUCGUGAGAUGUUGGGUUAAGUCCCGCAACGAGCGCAACCCUUUUCCUUAUUUGCCAGCGGGUUAAGCCGGGAACUUUAAGGAUACUGCCAGUGACAAACUGGAGGAAGGCGGGGACGACGUCAAGUCAUCAUGGCCCUUACGACCAGGGCUACACACGUGCUACAAUGGUCGGUACAAAGGGUUGCUACCUCGCGAGAGGAUGCUAAUCUCAAAAAGCCGAUCGUAGUCCGGAUYGSAGUCUGCAACUCGACUSCRUGAAGUCGGAAUCGCUAGUAAUCGCGGAUCAGAAUGCCGCGGUGAAUACGUUCCCGGGCCUUGUACACACCGCCCGUCACACCAUGGGAGUUUGUUGCACCAGAAGUAGGUAGUCUAA